UUUAACUUCACGGAAAGGACCCGGGGCUCUGUGGCUUCCCAUCCGUCUUGUGACCCGGAAUCAUGGUGAUCUAAAAGAGCCCUGUGACUCUGGGAAAUUUGUUAUCAAAGGAUGUUAGCCACAAGUCCUGUUGGCAAAUGGACCCCAGGUGGCCUGCAGUGCCAAGCUGUUUCCCUGCCAGCCUCCCAGUCUGGCCCUGACUCUCCAAUGAGGCCUGCAAAUGUGUUUCCGGGAGGAAAAUCCGUCCCUGCUAUUUCUCCAGCCUUCCCUUGUUACCGGUCCGGCCCUGCCCCUUUAACAUUCAGGAAUGAGAGUGGAAGCAGAAGGCCCAGGUCCCCGGAGGUCCCGACGCCCGGAUUCCACAGCCUGUGAGGGUCCCUUGAGCAGAGCGGGACGAGGCCACUGGCACUACGUCGUGACUUCACCAACAGCCUGCAGUACUCGUUAACGAGAUUUCGCCAGGCCCCUUGGACUAACGCCAGGAUUCUCGGUGCCCGCAGUCAGCGCUCUGGGAUUAGACAACGCCCCACAGGCCGCGGCUCUCUGCUGACCCUCAGCAGCGAUGAGACCGGCGCGCACAAGCCAGCAGCCACUAGCUCUCCCACAAGGCCGAGCGCGGCCAAAGGGCAGCCCCGCCCGCUCCGCCUCCCCCAGCUCUAUUGGCUAGUGCACCUGCCACUCAGCCGCGCGCCGGACUCCGGCUUCGGGCCUGGAGGAGGGAUCCCAAGCCUCCUCGGCUCGGCUCGGCUCGGCUCGGCUCGGCUCGGCUCGGCUCGGCUCGGCUCGGCUCGGCUCGGCUCGGCUCGGCUCGGCUCGGCUCGGCUCGGCUCGGCUCGGCUCGGCUCGGCUCGGCUCGGCUCGGCUCGGCUCGGCUCGGCUCGGCUCGGCUCGGCUCGGCUCGGCUCGGCUCGCUUGUCCUUGAGGUUUACUGUGUUUGGCAUCGCAGUUCCGACGGCAGCCGCCGUUUCGCGACCCACGGCGGACUUGCAUAAACACUUUCUAGUUGGAAUCUCACCCUGUGAGGUGGGCAAGGUAGUGAUAUUCCUGUUUGACGCCGACAGAAAUAAGAGAGAUUGACUCUCAGAACCAUGUGGCGGGAUUUUAAAGGAGGAUCUUAACAGUGGCUCGGACAGACCCGUGUUUUCUGCUCCUAGCAUUAACUACGUCGUUAAACCCUUCUGAAUUUAUUUCGUCUGUGAAAUGGGGAAAAGAUAGCCACCUUGCAUAACUGGUGAAGAAUUCGUAAACUGACAGCAGAAUCUAGUAAGAGGACUGGCCCGUGGUCGGCUCUUAAUGGUGUCACAGAAUAAAGAAAAAGACUGGGAGAGAGAUGGGAGCUGAUAGACCAGAGGAGACCAAAGACUGAAACUGAAGACUAAACCAUGGAAAUUGGGAACAAGCACUUACUCGCUUAGAGGGUGAAAAAAGUGAAUUUGCCUACAGGGCCAAUUUGGAAGCACCUCUCCCUGGAAGCCAGUCAAUGAAGAGCCAUUGGAGGAUUUUAAAUAAGGAACCGAAAAAUGGAGUCUGAAAAUAGAGGCGCAGAGACCGGUUCUUCCCCAAACCAUCAUGGACCAGUUGGACUCUGAGAAGAAAAGUUUCUGAUCUUUAGUUCAUUCUUCCAACUCUCUAGAAAGCAGGAAAACUGAGAAUGAAAAAUUCUAAAUUACUCAGGACUCAUGGGUUGCCAAUAGAAGAAAUACAUCUUAAACUAGCUUAAGCCUGAAAGGGAAAUGUAUUUGUUCAUGUAACUGAACCAUAACGAAGGAUGGUGGACUGAGGGACCUGAAAACACCCUCAGGACUCCCUCCCUCUCCUUUGUGCUCCUGUCUGAUGCCGUCUUCCCAGACCUGCUCACUCUCCAUAAGGUGGGGAUGUGGCCAUCAGCAACGUGUACUUCCCCGAAGCUUGUGACCUGAGUAGAUAGGCAUCUCCCAACCCACAAGGAUUGAAAAGUUCCUCUAGGAAUUAUGUGGAUUGGCCCAUUCACUAUGACAUGUUCCCCCUAAGCAGCUAAAGGAACUGGGUCUGUUACCAGAAGAGGUGGGAGAGGGGUGCUAGGCAGAUUGAACAACAGCCACUACAACAUCUGAGGAGGAGACCUCCGUGAAGGCCACCAAGUCUGCUAGCAGAUAUUUCCUCCCUCGGAUCUCUCUCCCUGUCCUCACAGUCUCAUAAGUGAGGAUUAAAUACUACAUGUGGCCUAGGAGAUCUUAGACCCUCCACACGAAGAUAUAGUAACAAUCAACAUCCUAGUGUUCUGGCAGAGAAAAAAUCAGAAAGAAUCGUUUGCCUGAUUUUUCCAUCAAUACCAAUAAUUAAUUAGAGAUGAAAUUUGUGAUGGACUCAGAGAAUUAGAGAAGAUCUAAGGGAAUCUAGAUGAUUUCCUACCCCUAACCAGAGCCUCACAAAAAAGGGUGAAGAUCUAUGGCCGUCUUGCGUUUGGUGUGAGGCUGGACAAGGAAGUUCCUAAGGUCCUUUAGACUCUGUGAGAUCAUGAGUCCGUAAAACCCUUCCAACUUGAAAUUAGUUGAUUCCUUCCUUAAAUUUUCUGGGACAUUCCCCCACUCCCUCCACUCUUAUUAGCUGAUUUUACUGACCAAUAGGCCUUGAAGUUGGGCGUUCCAUCUAGAUGUCUCACAUCAACUCACCUUUUGCAAAUUAAGCCCAUACCCUUAAAGAGGGGAAUUCUCAAGCCAUUAGAAACUAGAGAGUCAGCUGGGCAUGGUGGCUCACGCCUGUAAUCCCAGAACUUUGGGAGGCCAAGGUGGGUGGAUCACUUGAGGUCAGGAGUUCGAGUCCAGCCUGACCAACAUGGCGAAACCCCGUCUCUACUAAAAAUACAAAAAUUAGCCAGGGGUGAUGGCAUGCACCUGUAAUCCCAGCUACUCAGGAGGCUGAGGCAGGAGAAUUGCUUGAACCUGGGAGGCGGAGGUUGCAGUGAGCCAAGUUUGCACCACAGCACUCCAGCCUGGGCAACAGAGUGAGACUCAGUUUCAAAAAACAAAAGAACAAACAAACAAAAACUAGAGGGUCUCCUCUUAGUUCUUAAACCCUCUUAGUCAACAUUUGUGAGCCUCUUUUCUGUAUGUUUUGGCAUCUUUAUUCCUUUCCUUCGUGUCUUGACCAAAUUCACCAGAUCAUGACUCAGAACAAAAUCCUGAGGUUGAAUAUAGAGGUCUAGAACAUCUUCAAAUUAACUGUUUCUCCUCAUAGAGAAUUAAAGAAAUUGAGAAAGCAAGAG
rnacentral:lncRNA from 1 species